GAUGAACGCUGGCGGCGUGCCUAAUACAUGCAAAUCGAGCGAACUGAUUAGAAGCUUGCUUCUAUGACGUUAGCGGCGGACGGGUGAGUAACACGUGGGCAACCUGCCUGUAAGACUGGGAUAACUUCGGGAAACCGAAGCUAAUACCGGAUAGGAUCUUCUCCUUCAUGGGAGAUGAUUGAAUGCUGGUUUCGGCUAUCACUUACAGAUGGGCCCGCGGUGCAUUAGCUAGUUGGUGAGGUAACGGCUCACCAAGGCAACGAUGCAUAGCCGACCUGAGAGGGUGAUCGGCCACACUGGGACUGAGACACGGCCCAGACUCCUACGGGAGGCAGCAGUAGGGAAUCUUCCGCAAUGGACGAAAGUCUGACGGAGCAACGCCGCGUGAGUGAUGAAGGCUUUCGGGUCGUAAAACUCUGUUGUUAGGGAAGAACAAGUACAAGAGUAACUGCUUGUACCUUGACGGUACCUAACCAGAACGCCACGGCUAACUACGUGCCAGCCGCCGCAGUAACAC
rnacentral:rRNA from 1 species